CCGUGGCAUCACAAUCACGGCCUCCGGCUUAGAGCGUUCUGAACAAAAUGUUCAGAAAGCUGGAGUACCCCUUUAAAGUCUGAAAAUAUCUUUUGGUUUGUGGAUAGCUUAUGUGUUGGGGCUAUAUAUCUCUGAUGAUCCUGUAAUUGGUAAGACAUACCUCACCAUGUGAAGGACACCCUGAUUGGGUCCAAGAAUGGUGCCCAUUAAGUCAUGGUGGUAAGAGAUUGGCUCAAUGACAAUGCCUCCUGGUCAUGUUGCAGUCGCGAACCCUCACAUAGGCUUGCAUUGAGGGGGCGUGGUUGUGACAAGCGGGGCGUGACCGUGACGUCACUAGCCCCGUAUCGCCAGUCAUCCAGCACAGAGCAAAAAGUUAACUUCGUGCACCGGAUGUCUGGGGUGCUGCAGCCGAGAUUGCGGGGGUCCUUUGGAUAGGGGAUAAGAUGUCUAGGGGCGUAGUACCCCUUUAACUGAGCUCCAAUAAUUGUGUAAUCUCUGGAUCGUUCACGUGGUCCUUCACAGGGCGACGGGCAGCUGAUAAUGAUUUUAUUGAGCGUGAAAAAAUUUGAUUAGCCAAUGAGCAUGCGAUCUCUCAUUUGGAGGCUGAUUGCAAGAUAUGAGGGUUCCUACGAAUGAUGACUGUAUAAAAGGGUCUUCACACCAUGAUAAUUCUCAUUUCCUCGAGUAUUCUUACCCCUUCAUCAUACGACUUCCUUAAACCCUACGGAUGGCUUUUGCACAUGUCACAUGAGAAAACUUUCCGUUUUGCAUGGCUUUUGUCAGAUAUUAGUAUAAGGAAGUUAUGGAGGACAUGUUUUAUUAGUACACUUCACCUGCCCAACUGCCAAAAAAAAGUGCAAACGUGUCAGACAAAAAAGUGCACGAGGAUGCGGGUCUAUCGCAAACCCUCAUCCGAAAGAAGAGGAGCCCCCCACAGACCUUGUCUUCCCCUCUGGCAAGGGCCCAGGAUCGGUGUCUUUAUCGGCGUGCACUAUAAGUUGACUACUAUCUUACACUGACUGCACCAACACAACCCCCACGAUCAUUACACUUGCUUCAAACCAUUUGGUUUUGUGAGUUGACGACACCCAAGUUGGUAGGAGCCCGUCUCCCCUCCCAGACCUCUGUCCUCUUCUCACCCCUCCCCGAUGAUGGGCCAGCCCCGCUCUACCUCCUGUCACUGUGACAAAAUUCUCUCAGUCCACUGCCUAGCAGACAUAGAUAGGGAUCGAAGGGGGAGUUAGGCCAGUCACGCAGACAGAGCUCCUAAAAGUACAGUCGUGUGGUGUUUCCCAUCUCUGUGCACUGACAACAUCCAGCAGCCAACAUGUCCGACGCUCCAGCCGAACAAUCAGCGGCGACCGUAGAGGAAGUCAACGCGGCGCCGGCAGAGAACCCCUGCACGGAACUCAAAGCUGCCAUGGAGAAAUGCGCAGCCGAAAAAGGUGAAGACAACUGCCAGGAUCUAAUUCAGGCCUAUAAAGAAUGUAUGAAAUCUCUGAAAGUGCAAAUCUAAUGUACAACAAGGUUGGGGUGUUGCGGAGAGGGUCUGUGUGUUCCGAGUCCUCCACUUCCCCAUCAUCCCGUUCCCUUUCCAUCCGACCAUUCUCUUGGGACGGACAGAUGGGAGAGCCGGCUCCAUGUGAUGACGCGCUGUGUAAUCCUGUCCGCUGGUCACCUGUGCACAUCUACCUUGUACAACUCCUCCUGUCAAUGGGCCAUACACGGACGAGGCCGCCCAAAUAUCUCGGAACCAUGACGACCACCAUGAAACUGUAUAUGUUUAGAAUUUAUCUUAUUUCCCAUGUCUGAUUGUUUGCAGAUGCCGCGUUCAUUAGGAAAAAUAAAAAAUAUUCAACAGGAAAGACGACCGUCACCAGGAGGUGGGGGGGGGGGUCGAUACUUUUUGGAACAUAUUAACAACCAAUUUCUGGGCUCUCCAUCUUGGGUCAGUGUUGACCAUCUAUACUUGUGCGUUUGAUUACGACGAGAAGGAACCUCAGGCGGAGCGGAUGAUUCUUCUGUCGCCCUGGAAUUAUUAUUAUUAUUUUUAUUUUUUAUUUUUUUUAAAUGUCUUCAAAUCGUAUCGACCAAUAAAAGGAUAAAUG